AUCUUAAUGAAAUUAAGUCUCUGUUAUAAAUCUUAAUCAUACAGACCUAUUCAAACUCAUUAAGUGGUUAUGAAGUAAAAAAACAAAUACACUUAAUGAUUAACAUCUGAAUAAUUAAGAUUCAUACUUUAAAAACAAAAUAUUCAGACCCAUUAAGUGGUUAUGGAGUAAAAAAAUCAAACACAAUUAAUGAUUAAGAUCUGAAUAAUUAAGAUUCAGACUUUAAAAAUAAAAGCAUUUAAUGUCUGAGAUUUGAAUGAUUAAGAUUCAGACCUCCAUACGUGCAAACAAACGAGGCCUAAGACUAACUACCCAAGUUAGGAGGCUACUGUCCACGGAAACCAAAAGGAAACCAUAACCAGAUAAGUUAUAAUCAGUGUGGAUUUGUUGAAACCUAGUUUAAGUGGACUUAGCAGUGGAAUGGUAGCUGAUAAUUUAGCACCAUUGGAAAAAAUGACUAAUUUCGCUUGUGAAUUCAGUCAUCCUUCAAUAAACUCCGGAGCAAUCCCUUUAGUGGCCUUUACCUACUCAAAUACGGGUAGGGUUGGAAUAGCAAGUGAACUUUAUGGGCUUAUCUUCUUGUCACUCACCACAUAUGUUUAGCAAACUUUUGCCUUCUAUUCUCUUGCAACUCGAAUCAUAUUACAUUAUCUAACCAGCUGCUUUAGUGUGAAAAGUGCUCAGUAUAAAAAUUUACUGGACCCAGCCUAGUGAAGGAAGUUCUU
rnacentral:lncRNA from 1 species